ACUAAGCAGGAUCCCUGGCAGGGGACCUCAACUAAAGCAGCCCUCCACUGGUAGCAGCCUGGGGGAGGGGGAGACGGGCGAGGGAAGACCAGUUAACCAUUACCCCAGUAAGCAUCACACUUAGCAUCUCAGGGCGAUGCUUACAAGUAACCCUUCUUUUCUAUCCCCUCCCUCCCCAUUGUAACUUUAACCACGAACACUUCAGUCGCGCGCCACAACGCCUUCCAGUCAAAAACCGCAAGCCACUUUGAUAAACAAGCAGCAGGUCUAUUAGCACAAGUUCCUUCAAUUCAGACAUUUCAUAGCAGCCCCAGAGAAGGGCCCGCAAUCCGCACAGGCACGGAGAGGGCAAGGGCCGUGCCCCUGCAGCGCCCACUGAGUGAACUAUGGCAACGCCUGGAGAGCAGACCGCGGGAGCCCCGCGGAGAGGAAGGGGCUGCAGUUGACCCUCCUGAGACAAUCCCACCGCGCUGCCAGGGCACAGGUGGAACGUCUUUAGCUGCUCCCGCUACAGAAAGGGGGCUACAGCGCCCAGUGCCUUCCCCUUUAAGGGCCCCACUACCUCCUACACUUAGUCCUUCCGUGUCGUUAAUCCGCUGCAACCACCACACGCCCCGCAGCCCACUCAGCUGCCCCGCGUCCCUCCCCGCCGUAGCAAGGAAACUCACCCGGCUCGCACAGGUUUCCCCUCAGGCAGCCACUGACUCCCUCCCGAGGUGAGAUCCAGACUAACACUGCUACCAUUCUGAGACCAGAGAAUAUACCAAAAAGUAGGAUUUAAGUGGUUGCAAGAGGAAACAAACAGAUGAAAGGGAGGCGAUCUUUAAAUUUGUACAGUAAAGGGAAUUUGAAGCUGUAUUGUCCAAUGCUGGAGAUGACUGUGAUGAGAUUGUCCUGAUGAGCUUCCAUUUGUGAGUAAUGAUCAAAUAUUUGUUAAAUCCAUCUGCUAAAUAAGAGAACCUUUAUUCAAUACCAGGGAAUAAAGAAUUUUUUUAUGUGCUUCCAUGGGAUCAAGAUCAGACCUAAUAUCAUUUACUAAUGUUUAGAAAUGCAGAAGUUAAAAACCAAGUGUUUAGCAAUGUCAAGUGUUCAAUAUAGUUUUGGUCUCUUGAUCAUUUGUCUAGGAGCUGUGUUAAGGCUUUGAAGAGAAUCCAAUCCAAGACUAGAAGGGUUGCCCGCAAGCCCUUAAAGUAUUUAGAACCUUGGAGUCCGAUUAAGGAAGGUCAACCCCUACUUCUUUUUGUAAACACAAUAAUUAUUUUCCGACUUCGUAUUGCCAGAAAAUCCUUGCCUUGCUGGGUGAUUACUGUGGGCUCGGCGGGGAGCAUGGCCCACACUGCUACAACCCUUAAAAUCUGCGCAGAUUGCUGACAACUCCCCCUGAGAAGUUGCUCCGGUGCCCCGUCAUUUCAAGGCUAUGGGAGUAAUGCAGCACUGUGGGUUGCAGAACUGACUCCCCUUCAGUCGUCCAGCUUCCCGAGCUCUGAGCUCCGGCGCCAUGAAAGCGGAAGAGGCGACACCCUGCGAGGCGAUCUCUGAAGAUCGGCGCCGGCUGAUCUCGGUAUCAAGCAGAAGACAACAAGGCAGCCUAGCAGCGGCCGUAGCCCAGUGUUUGUCCCUGGCGGUGAUGUGCACGGCCGGGGCCUACCCCAGCUGGGUUCUAGUGAGCGGCAAGGAGAUCCAGUUCGUAUUAGGAGCGGCCUGGGUCAUGAACCCGAGAGAGCCCGCGCCUAACUCCCCGCUCCUGGGUCGGACCGGAGGCGGCCUGAUGAUUUCCAUAGCCGUCUGCUGCAUUCUGGCCAUUCUGUGCGGCUACGGGGCCUUGGUGCUGGACUUCCUGGGGCUGCGGCGGGGGGGACUGGUAGCCCCCCUCCUGCC